UGAAGAGUUUGAUCCUGGCUCAGGAUAAACGCUGGCGGCGUGCCUAAUGCAUGCAAGUCGAACGGGAGUAGCAAUACUCAAGUGGCAAACGGGUGAGUAACACGUGGGAACCUGCCCUUUAGUGGGGGACAACCUUUCGAAAGAGAGGCUAAUACCGCAUACGGUGGAGACACUAAAGCAGCAAUGCGCUGAAGGAGGGGCCUGCGUCUGAUUAGCUAGUAGGUGGGGUAAAAGCCUACCUAGGCGAUGAUCAGUAGCUGGUCUGAGAGGAUGGUCAGCCACACUGGGACUGAGAAACGGCCCAGACUCCUACGGGAGGCAGCAGCAAGGAAUUUUCGGCAAUGGGGGAAACCCUGACCGAGCAACGCCGCGUGGGCGAUGAAGUCUUUCGGGAUGUAAAGCCCUUUUCUGUGGGAAGAGCAAGGACGGUACCACAGGAAUAAGCACCGGCUAACUACGUGCCAGCAGCCGCGGUAAUACGUAGGGUGCAAGCGUUGUCCGGAUUUACUGGGCGUAAAGGGCGCGCAGGCGGCUUGUUAAGUUACUCGUGAAAGCCCCCGGCUAAACCGGGGAGGGUCGAGUGAUACUGGCAGGCUAAGAGAGCAGCAGAGGAUAGUGGAAUUCCCGGUGUAGUGGUGAAAUGCGUAGAUAUCGGGAGGAACACCAGUGGCGAAAGCGACUAUCUGGGCUGUGUCUGACGCUGAGGCGCGAAGGCUAGGGGAGCAAACAGGAUUAGAUACCCUGGUAGUCCUAGCAGUAAACGAUGAACACUAGGUGUGCGGGGAAAUUGACCCCCUGCGUGCCGUAGCUAACGCAAUAAGUGUUCCGCCUGGGGAGUACGGUCGCAAGAUUAAAACUCAAAGGAAUUGACGGGGACCCGCACAAGCAGCGGAGCGUGUGGUUUAAUUCGACGCAACGCGAAGAACCUUACCAGGGCUUGACAUACUACGUUCAAGGGCGGAAACGUUCUGGUCGCAAGACGAGUAGUACAGAUGCUGCAUGGCUGUCGUCAGCUCGUGUCGUGAGAUGUUGGGUUAAGUCCCGCAACGAGCGCAACC
rnacentral:rRNA from 1 species